CAGGGAGUCGGCUCCUCACUCAAACCUAGGAGAGAAGGAUGGAAGCAGCUUCAAGGCUUCCUCCCUGCACGGGUAAGAAGAAAGGAUUUGUAGCAGAAAUACGUCAUAGCACAAGCAGAGACAAGAUAUUCUUGUAUGUUUGGGUCUCCAAGGAAAACACUCAAGAAUGGCAAGGAGAUAAAGAAGCCCAAAGAAAGGCGAGCUUUCCCUGCAUUUUUUCCAGCUGUGGUGAUUAUCCAAGGUGAACAAGACUUAGACCAGUCAAAGGUUUCAAGACAGCAUACAUUCACUCAACAAGACACAGCAGAGACAAAGGCAGAGUUCUGUCUGCUCAUGACUUCCACCUCAGCAUUCUUGAAUAGAGAUAGAGAAUGAUCCAGCUAAGAAACUAAGUGCCCAAACAAUGAGAAAACAGUGAGAAGAUCCAAGGGGGCUUUUUUGUGGGGGCAGCUUUGGAGUGAUCUGACUGUCAUGAAGGAAAAAUGAGCUGGGCAAACUGUGUGCUCUUCUUCUCUCUUCCAUCCCUUGGGGCUGAGGGAAUCUUUGCAGAAUAUUGCCUCUCUUAUUUAUGUUCUCAAAGAAUCCAUUUUUCAAUGUAAUUAUUAAUCAUUUAUUUUGUUUUAUUCUUUUUGCUAUUGAUUUAUACCUUUAUUUUUAUUGUUUGUCUCUCUUCCUGUAUCUUUAGUCUUUACUGUGGUUCUGCUGUCAAAUGAAAUGCUUUGCAUAUUUGUAUACAAAUGUCUUUUAUUGAUAAAUGAUUUACAGCCACAAAUCAUUCUAUAAGUGCUAUCUUAAUAUGUAAACAAUCUGAUAAGUAAUAUUUUCAGUUCUAAGUCUUGAAUGCUUUUGAUUUUUUCUUCGCGAGUCAGUUACUUAGUAUCAUCAAGAUGUUGAAAUUAAACCCAUUUUGUACCCAUGUUGUUUGAGGUUUGGGGCUGGGCUAACAGAUGCCAGUUUCAUUGCAAUAAUUCCUCAUGUUCUUUCCACAUAUUUAUUCUUAAAUAUUUCUUCUGUGAGGCUACUCUGAAGUAUUAAGAAACUGUGGAACAGUUCUGUUGCACAGAAAGAUAUAUUUAUCAAGAUGCUGCAACUUGGAGAGGAAAGGGUUUAUUAGGCUUAUACUUCCAGGUCACUGUUCAUCAUGGAGGGAUGUCAAGAAAGGAACUCAAGCAGGGGCUUGAAGCAGCAAAUCAUGGAGGAAAGUUGCUUUCCUGACUCACUUACUGACUUGUUCUCUGGUUUAUACUUAGCUAGAUUCAGCCCCAAGGUCACCUGCCCAGGAAUGGUACUAUCCACAGUGGGCUGAGCCGUCCUGCAUCAAUUAAUAAAAAAGACACUACAGUGAGUGGUCUGUGUCCAGAGAUCCAUAGACUCAACCAAGCAAAGAUUAAAAAUAUUUCAAUAAAACAUUCC